rnacentral:lncRNA from 1 species
CUGUGUUUUGUUAUGUCUGUGUUUUCAACAUUUUAUUUUUUUGAGCGGCGUGCUCUUUCUGACUGUAAACAAAGCCGUUCUCCACCUCCUCUAACCUGAUUGGUUGUGAGGCAGACGCUGCUCCCCCGUGUCGUUCAGGAGCCCAAACAAAGUUAGCGUGCUACAAUAUCGGACAGUAGAAACCAACCAGAAAGUUCGGAAAAUUGUCUGAAUCCUCCUUUGGCCACGACUGCCGACACAAGCAAGAAAACAAAGUAAAUACCGGAGACUCUGGAGGAAUAACGGGCGCUUAAAACGGAGGUAGACCGGACAAGAGCUAAAAAGCCGGGUCAACAUAAACCAUGGGGGACGCUUGGGGAUCUUGGUGACCCUGUAACCUUUCUGCUGGACAGGUAAACCGCUUUAACAAAGUAAGACAAGUGUCUGUAACAGAAGUGUUUCUUGUCAAACGGACCUGCUGUAGCGUGUUGUAGCGCCAUCGCUAAACUGUCCUCCCUCGGGUCCUGGACUAUGUCACUUUAUCCUCGUUGUAGAAGUCCUGCAAACAUUGUGUUU